ACUUGUUGAUGUGGGCAUUUGUGAAUAAGGUCCCUAAAGCGCUCCUAUGUCUCAAAAAAUUGUUCCCCAUCUAAUUGGGAGAAACUAGUGACUGCCUUCCUAAGCU